GACAGAGGGUGCAAACGUUGUUCGGAAUUACUGGGCGUAAAGCGAGUGUAGGCGGUGUGGUAAGUCGGAUGUGAAAGCCCCGGGCUCAACCCGGGAAGUGCACUCGAUACUGCCACGCUAGAGUAUCGGAGAGGUUGGUGGAAUUCUCGGUGUAGAGGUGAAAUUCGUAGAUAUCGAGAGGAACACCGGUGGCGAAGGCGGCCAACUGGACGAAUACUGACGCUGAGACGCGAAAGCGUGGGGAGCAAACAGG
rnacentral:rRNA from 1 species